rnacentral:rRNA from 1 species
UACGUAGGGGGCAAGCGUUGUCCGGAAUCAUUGGGCGUAAAGCGCGUGUAGGCGGCCCGAUAAGUCCGCUGUGAAAGUCCAGGGCUCAACCCUCGGAAGCCGGUGGAUACUGUCGGGCUAGAGUACGGAAGAGGCGAGUGGAAUUCCUGGUGUAGCGGUGAAAUGCGCAGAUAUCAGGAGGAACACCAAUUGCGAAGGCAGCUCGCUGGGACGUUACUGACGCUGAGACGCGAAAGCGUGGGGAGCAAACAGG